CAACAGGGAUUGCCCUAGUAACGGCGAGUGAAGCGGCAACAGCUCAAAUUUGAAAUCUGGCUCUUUCAGAGUCCGAGUUGUAAUUUGCAGAGGGCGCUUUGGCUUUGGCAGCGGUCCAAGUUCCUUGGAACAGGACGUCACAGAGGGUGAGAAUCCCGUACGUGGUCGCUAGCUAUUGCCGUGUAAAGCCCCUUCGACGAGUCGAGUUGUUUGGGAAUGCAGCUCUAAAUGGGAGGUAAAUUUCUUCUAAAGCUAAAUAUUGGCCAGAGACCGAUAGCGCACAAGUAGAGUGAUCGAAAGAUGAAAAGCACUUUGGAAAGAGAGUCAAACAGCACGUGAAAUUGUUGAAAGGGAAGCGCUUGCAGCCAGACUUGCUUGCAGUUGCUCAUCCGGGCUUUUGCCCGGUGCACUCUUCUGCAGGCAGGCCAGCAUCAGUUUGGGCGGUGGGAUAAAGGUCUCUGUCAUGUACCUCUCUUCGGGGAGGCCUUAUAGGGGAGGCGACAUACCACCAGCCUAGACUGAGGUCCGCGCAUCUGCUAGGAUGCUGGCGUAAUGGCUGUAAGCGGCCCGUCUUGAAACACGGACCAAGGAGUCUAACAUCUAUGCGAGUGUUUGGGUGUCAAGCCCGAGCGCGUAAUGAAAGUGAACGGAGGUGGGAACCCGCAAGGGUGCACCAUCGACCGAUCCUGAAGUUUACGGAAGGAUUUGAGUAAGAGCAUGGCUGUUGGGACCCGAAAGAUGGUGAACUAUGCUUGAAUAGGGUGAAGCCAGAGGAAACUCUGGUGGAGGCUCGCAGCGGUUCUGACGUGCAAAUCGAUCGUCAAAUUUGGGCAUAGGGGCGAAAGACUAAUCGAACUAUCUAGUAGCUGGUCUGCG
rnacentral:rRNA from 1 species